rnacentral:rRNA from 1 species
UACGUAGGGGGCUAGCGUUGUCCGGAAUCAUUGGGCGUAAAGAGCGCGUAGGCGGCCAGAUAAGUCCGGUGUGAAAGUCAAAGGCUCAACCUUUGAAUGCCGCUGGAAACUGUCUGGCUAGAGUCCGGGAGGGGCGAGUGGAAUUCCUGGUGUAGCGGUGAAAUGCGCAGAUAUCAGGAGGAACACCGAUGGCGAAGGCAGAUCUCUGGGCCGUAACUGACGCUGAGGAGCGAAAGCGUGGGGAGCGAACAGG